rnacentral:rRNA from 1 species
AGAUUGAACGCUGGCGGCAUGCUUUACACAUGCAAGUCGAACGGCAGCGCGGGGCAACCUGGCGGCGAGUGGCGAACGGGUGAGUAAUAUAUCGGAACGUACCCAAGAGUGGGGGAUAACGUAGCGAAAGUUACGCUAAUACCGCAUACGAUCCAAGGAUGAAAGCAGGGGACCGCAAGGCCUUGUGCUCCUGGAGCGGCCGAGUAUCUGAUUAGCUAGUUGGUAGGUAAGGCCUACCAAGGCUACGAUCAGUAGCUGGUCUGAGAGGACGACCGGCCACACUGGAACUGGAGACACGGUCCAGACUCCGUACGGGAGCAGCAGUGGGAAUUUGGACAAGUGG